rnacentral:rRNA from 1 species
GAUGAACGCUGGCGGCGUGCCUAAUACAUGCAAGUAGAACGCUGACGGAAGGAGCUUGCUCUUUCCGGAUGAGUUGCGAACGGGUGAGUCAUGCGUAGGUAACCUGCCUGGUAGCGGGGGAUAACUAAUGGAAACGUUAGCUAAUACAGCAUAACAGUAGAUGUUGCAUGAUAUCUACUUAAAAGGUGCAAUUGCACCACUAACAGCUGGACCUGCGUUGUAUUAGCUAGUUGGUGAGGUAACGGCUCACCAAGGCGACGAUACAUAGCAGACCUGAGAGGGUGAUCAGCCACACUGGGACUGAGACACGGCCCAGACUCCUACGGGAGGCAGCAGUAGGGAAUUUUCGGCAAUGGACGGAAGUCUGACCGAGCAACGCCGCGUGAGUGAAGAAGGUUUUCGGAUCGUAAAGCUCUGUUGUAAGGGAAGAACGAGUGUGAGAGUGGAAAGUGCACACUGGGACGGUAUCUUACCAGAAAGAGACGGCUAACUACUU